AACCCGAUUUUCAUGGAUCUUU
rnacentral:miRNA from 1 species